rnacentral:rRNA from 1 species
GAUGAACGCUGGCGGCGUGCCUAAUACAUGCAAGUCGAGCGAACGGACGAGAAGCUUGCUUCUCUGAUGUUAGCGGCGGACGGGUGAGUAACACGUGGAUAACCUACCUAUAAGACUGGGAUAACUUCGGGAAACCGGAGCUAAUACCGGAUAAUAUUUUGAACCGCAUGGUUCAAAAGUGAAAGACGGUCUUGCUGUCACUUAUAGAUGGAUCCGCGCUGCAUUAGCUAGUUGGUAAGGUAACGGCUUACCAAGGCAACGAUGCAUAGCCGACCUGAGAGGGUGAUCGGCCACACUGGAACUGAGACACGGUCCAGACUCCUUCGGGAGGCAGCAGUAGGGAAUCUUCCGCAAUGGGCGAAAGCCUGACGGAGCAACGCCGCGUGAGUGAUGAAGGUCUUCGGAUCGUAAAACUCUGUUAUUAGGGAAGAACAUAUGUGUAAGUAACUGUGCACAUCCUGACGGUACCUAAUCAGAAAGCCACGGCUAACUACGUG